rnacentral:rRNA from 1 species
AGAGUUUGAUCCUGGCUCAGGAUGAACGCUGGCGGCGUGCCUAACACAUGCAAGUCGAGCGAAGCACUUUGCUUAGAUUCUUCGGAUGAAGAGGAUUGUGACUGAGCGGCGGACGGGUGAGUAACGCGUGGGUAACCUGCCUCGUACAGGGGGAUAACAGUUAGAAAUGACUGCUAAUACCGCAUAAGACCACAGCACCGCAUGGUGCAGGGGUAAAAACUCCGGUGGUAUGAGAUGGACCCGCGUCUGAUUAGCUAGUUGGUAAGGUAACGGCUUACCAAGGCGACGAUCAGUAGCCGACCUGAGAGGGUGACCGGCCACAUUGGGACUGAGACACGGCCCAAACUCCUACGGGAGGCAGCAGUGGGGAAUAUUGCACAAUGGGGGAAACCCUGAUGCAGCGACGCCGCGUGAGCGAAGAAGUAUUUCGGUAUGUAAAGCUCUAUCAGCAGGGAAGAAAAUGACGGUACCUGACUAAGAAGCACCGGCUAAAUACGUGCCAGCAGCCGCGGUAAUACGUAUGGUGCAAGCGUUAUCCGGAUUUACUGGGUGUAAAGGGAGCGUAGACGGAUGGGCAAGUCUGAUGUGAAAACCCGGGGCUCAACCCCGGGACUGCAUUGGAAACUGUUCAUCUAGAGUGCUGGAGAGGUAAGUGGAAUUCCUAGUGUAGCGGUGAAAUGCGUAGAUAUUAGGAGGAACACCAGUGGCGAAGGCGGCUUACUGGACAGUAACUGACGUUGAGGCUCGAAAGCGUGGGGAGCAAACAGGAUUAGAUACCCUGGUAGUCCACGCCGUAAACGAUGACUACUAGGUGUCGGGUGGCAAAGCCAUUCGGUGCCGCAGCAAACGCAAUAAGUAGUCCACCUGGGGAGUACGUUCGCAAGAAUGAAACUCAAAGGAAUUGACGGGGACCCGCACAAGCGGUGGAGCAUGUGGUUUAAUUCGAAGCAACGCGAAGAACCUUACCAAAUCUUGACAUCCCUCUGACCGGUCUUUAAUCGGACCUUCUCUUCGGAGCAGAGGUGACAGGUGGUGCAUGGUUGUCGUCAGCUCGUGUCGUGAGAUGUUGGGUUAAGUCCCGCAACGAGCGCAACCCUUAUGGUCAGUUACUACGCAAGAGGACUCUGGCCAGACUGCCGUUGACAAAACGGAGGAAGGUGGGGAUGACGUCAAAUCAGCACGGCCCUUACGUCCGGGGCUACACACGUGUUACAAUGGCAGGUACAGAGAGACGGUCCCUUGCAAAAUGGAUCAAAUCCUUAAAGCCUGUCUCAGUUCGGACUGGGGUCUGCAACCCGACCCCACGAAGCUGGAUUCGCUAGUAAUCGCGCAUCAGCCAUGGCGCGGUGAAUACGUUCCCGGGCCUUGCACACACCGCCCGUCA